GACAGAGGGUGCAAACGUUGUUCGGAAUUACUGGGCGUAAAGCGUGUGUAGGCUGCCAUGUAAGUCGGAUGUGAAAGCCCCGGGCUCAACCCGGGAAGUGCACUCGAUACUGCGUGGCUUGAGUACUGGAGAGGUUGGUAGAAUUCUCGGUGUAGAGGUGAAAUUCGUAGAUAUCGAGAGGAAUACCGGUGGCGAAGGCGGCCAACUGGACAGAUACUGACGCUGAGACACGAAAGCGUGGGGAUCAAACAGG
rnacentral:rRNA from 1 species